CGUGAGGAGGAAGAGGCAGAGGAUGGAGACCAGACUGACAGCAAUCCGGACCUUCUCUCUGAUACUAACGCCACACAGGAAAAAGAAGGUAGAGGAGCUGUGUGGUACCUCAGUGGCGGUGAUGAAGAAGUUCCAUGGCAGCAGUGUCCCCAGUCCCAGGAUAAAGAUGAUGACGGCCACAGCACAGCCUCUGUUAGGGGAGAGAAGACAUCACUCACAUCUCACAUAGCAACCACUCCAACAGCCGCUGGUAGCACUGCGUUUUAAGUUCGUCUUGUCUCGUCAAGCCUACCAGCCCUAGUCUCUGUUUUCUAGCCCUCCUGGUUCCGACCUUUUCUGCCUGCCGCCCUGUACCUUUCGGACUCUGACCUGGUUAAUGAACAUCUGCCUGUCCUCGACCUGCCCCUUGUAUUUGAAUAAAUACCAGAGACUCUAA